GUUAAUUCUGCGCAGAAUUGUCAGAUUAUGAUUCCUAUACCAAUGCAUUGAAACCAGAUGCUCAAGAAAGCCCAGUAAAGCAAUCUGUAUAGGAAUUGAGGCUGUUACCCAAACCGUCCAGUCCAGCAAGACAUGCUCAACCAUAUCAGCAUUUGAAAGAACAAUGCAAUUAGAUGUUUCAGUCAGCAUUUCAGUAUUUUCAAGCUCAGAACGUCCAGUCCAGCAAGACAUGCUCAGCCAUAUCAGCAUUUGAAAGAACAAUGCAAUUAGAUGUUUCAGUCAGCAUUUCAGUAUUUUCAAGCUCAGAAAUAUGACUCAAAGAAUCUUUAGGUGCAGAAAAAUCAUCCAUGUCUCCAUGAGAUCCAACAGAAGAAAAUUCUUCCUGGAAUUUGGACAAAGUAAGGUCUUCAAUGCUUCCCUCAUUUAUGGCCAUGGCAGGUGGCAGUGUCUUCUGGGAACUAUGGUACUUCUUUGGUUCAGAGAAAGAUGCCUCACAUGCAGCAAUCUGGAAGAAGAUUUCAAGUGAUUGCAUGUCAAAUAAUGGCAUUCGCCGGUGCAAAAAG
rnacentral:lncRNA from 1 species